rnacentral:rRNA from 1 species
GUAGGGUCCAAGCGUUAAUCGGAAUUACUGGGCGUAAAGCGUGCGCAGGCGGUUGUGCAAGACCGAUGUGAAAUCCCCGGGCUUAACCUGGGAAUUGCAUUGGUGACUGCACGGCUAGAGUGUGUCAGAGGGGGUAGAAUUCCACGUGUAGCAGUGAAAUGCGUAGAGAUGUGGAGGAAUACCGAUGGCGAAGGCAGCCCCCUGGGAUAACACUGACGCUCAUGCACGAAAGCGUGGGGGGAGCAAACAGGAUUAGAUACCCUGGUAGUCCACGCCCCUAAACCGAUGUCAACUAGUUGUUGGGGAUUCAUUUCCUUAGUAACGUAGCUAACGCGUGAAGUUGACCGCCUGGGAGUACGGUCGCAAGAUUA